GAUGAACGCUGGCGGCGUGCUUAACACAUGCAAGUCGAACGAAGCACUCUAUUUGAUUUUCUUCGGGACUGAUUCUUUUGUGACUGAGUGGCGGACGGGGGAGUAACGCGUGGGUAACCUGCCUUAUACUGGGGGAUAACAGGUGGAGACCGCUGCUAAUACCGCAUAAGCGCACAGCAUCGCAUGAGUCAGUGUGAAAAACUGCGGAGGUAUAAGAUGGAGCCGCGUUGGAUUAUCUAGUCGGUGAGGUAACGGCGCACCAAGGCGACGAUCCAUAGCCGAAGUGAGAGGGUGAACGGUCACAUUGGGACUGAGACACGGCCCAAACUCCUGCGGGAGGCAGCAGUGGGGAAUAUUGCACAAUGGGCGAAAGCCUGAUGCAGCGCCGCCGCGUGAGCGAAGAAGUAGUUGUGUACGUAAAGCUCUAUCAGCAGGGAAGAUAAUGACGGUACCUGACGAAGAAGCACCGGCUAAAUACGUG
rnacentral:rRNA from 1 species